AUUGGUCUAUACAAAUGGUCUAUAGCUUUCCUGGCUCUCGGCUCUAUAUGCUUUGUUUAUUUAUACUAUAUAGAACUGAGCAACAGGUAAAUUAUUUACCACCAA
rnacentral:ncRNA from 2 species